rnacentral:rRNA from 1 species
CUACGGGUUGCUGCAGUGAGGAAUAUUGCACAAUGGGGGCAACCCUGAUGCAGCAACGCCGCGUGGAGGAUGACGCAUUUCGGUGUGUAAACUCCUUUUAUCAGAGAAGAACCAUGACGGUAUCUGAUGAAUAAGCUCCGGCUAACUCCGUGCCAGCAGCCGCGGUAAUACGGAGGGAGCAAGCGUUAUUCGGAAUCACUGGGCGUAAAGGACGCGUAGGCCGGUCUGUAAGUCAGGUGUGAAAUGCAAUGGCUCAACCAUUGAACUGCACUUGAAACUGCGGACCUAGAGUAUGGAAGGGGCAGAUGGAAUUAGUGGUGUAGGGGUAAAAUCCGUAGAUAUCACUAGGAAUACCGAAAGCGAAGGCGAUCUGCUGGGACAUAACUGACGCUGAGGCGUGAAAGCGUGGGGAGCAAACAGGAUUAGAUACCCCCGUAGUC